rnacentral:rRNA from 1 species
GACGAACCGUGCAAACGUUGUUCGGAAUCACUGGGCUUAAAGGGCGCGUAGGCGGGUCAGCAAGUCCGGGGUGAAAUCUUUCGGCUUAACCGGAAAAGUGCCUUGGAUACUGCUGAUCUUGAGCGAGGUAGGGGCAGGCGGAACUUCCGGUGGAGCGGUGAAAUGCGUUGAUAUCGGAAGGAACUCCGGUGGCGAAAGCGGCCUGCUGGACCUCUUCUGACGCUGAGGCGCGAAAGCUAGGGGAGCAAACGGG